rnacentral:misc_RNA from 1 species
AAAAAAGAUAAUGUGGUGCUGGUGCUGGAAUCAUCUAACAAGAACAUUACAAAAUUGUGCUGCUGGUUUACUUUGGCUUUUGUAGCUUGGUAGAUCAGGCUGCAACUUGAAGUUUAGUUAGAUAGUUGGACAUGAAUUUGCUGGUGAGAACAUGCUCGAGCCAAGGGAAACCGACAUUCCGACUUUAUUUUUGGUCUUGGUUGUGCUUCCCCUGGUUUCUUAUAUUCUUCUAGGAAAAUGGAAUGAGGCAGCCAAAAAGAAAGAAAGAGUUGGUUUGCUGGCUCAACGGGCUGCUGAAGAAGCACAUAAGACACAAACUAUGUCUGCAGUAAGUAUUACCCCUAUCCCUCUUGUGCCUUUGCCAAGCAGUGCAACUCAUCAGUGUGCAAGAUGCCAUAGUCCAGCCACAACUCGCUGCUCUCAAUGCAAAUCUGUUCGAUAUUGCUCAGGGAAGUGUCAGAUUCUCCAUUGGAGACAGGUUCACAAGCUAGAGUGUCUUCAAUUGGGUAAUAACUGCAAUAGCUCAUCCUCUAAGCCUGCCUUGACUGAUGAACUCCCGGGACGCAUGUCAUUUGAUAGCUAUGUUGAAGCGCAGUACAGCGACAACAACCUGAAUCAGUUGUGGCUUGGCAAAACUUCUCCAGAUGGGGUGACUGAAACACCCAUUGUCACCCCAGUUGCCCCUAUUACUGUUAGUGUGGCAACGAAUACAUCAGGAUCUCCAAAAGUUGGGAGACGAUCUGUAGACAAGAGAGUACAUAAAGGCAACAGAGACAUAUUAAGAAGAGGGGACGGAACCAUGUCUGAGAGUUCUGAACGAGCCUCUCAAUCUAGGUCAAGAGAUGGUGAUUCCAUGCUUUCGGAACAUGAUAGCAUCGCGGAUGGGUUCAUUAGUGAACAUACUGAUUUGAUGAAUACAAUGGGAGAACGCCAUAUGUUACAAAAGCAGAAAGAACACAUCUCAAGAAAUCAUCGUCAUGUUUCAAGUUCAUCGAAUCUAGAAGGCCAUGAAACAAAUGCAUGCAAGAAUCAGAAGGAGCUGAUUGAUGAAAAAAGCCUUACACGAGAAGGCGUCGUUACCGGCACUCCGGCAAUUCCAUUAAACUGUUCUUCUGGAAAGACCUCUACAAGAAGAAGCAGUAGGGCUAAAAGUGCAUCACCUUCUCCAGGAACAAAGUCCCAUAGGACGCCAAAAACAUCAAGAGAAGAAAUGUGUUCAGGUUUGGAAGGGAAGGGACUGAAUAUUGAUGAGUCAAAAAAUGCUAGAAGAAAGGAUGCAGUCCCUCCACAAGCAGGCAGUGGUGUUGCAAACUUGGGAAUUAUGAGAAUGUUUGGUCUGGCUAAAUCAUCAAAAGUUGUCGGACAUCAAUCAUUAGAAUCCAGGGCUGACAAACAAAAGAAACUAAAGAUGCUGUUUCCUUAUGAAGAGUUUGUGAAGUUAUUUGAAUACGAAGACUUCACUUUGUUGCCUAGAGGUCUCAUAAAUUGCGGGAAUAGUUGUUAUGCCAAUGCUGUCUUGCAGUGUCUGAUGUGCACAAAGCCUUUAACAAUCUACCUACUUCACAGAUCACAUUCUAGAACUUACUGCAGGAAAGAUUGGUGCCUUGUGUGUGAACUUGAGCAACAUGCGAUGAUGUUAAGAGAAAGUGGAGGUCCUCUGUCACCAAACAAGAUUCUUUUGCAUAUGCGGAGCAUUAAUGGUCAGAUUGGAAAUGGCAGUCAGGAAGAUGCUCAUGAGUUU